ensembl:rRNA 5S_rRNA 5S ribosomal RNA
GUCUACAGCCACACCACCCUGAACAUGCCUGAUCUCGUCUGAUCUCAGAAGCUAAGCAGGGUCAGGCCUGGUUAGUACUUGGAUGGGAGCCCACGUCUUUUCUUCUUCUGGGAAGAGAGAUGAAAUCC